rnacentral:rRNA from 1 species
AUGACCUUCAAGGAUGAGAAUAACAUUCAGGAAUGGAGUGGAACGUUUGCGUCAGUAGUAUAUUCAAAUCACGAAUCACUUUGCACAAAUUCAGGAACGUGUACAUGGCUGUCAGGAAGAUACCUAUGCAGGACCCGAAGAUACUUUCGCUUCCGAGGCACGUGGUUUUUUCAUUUGGGGUGUGACAAGCACGCGAAUAUUUUGCUCUCGAGGUGUCUUUCGCAUGAUUUGUGCCCCCAUCAUGCUACUUGUCCCGCUCCCACGAUGGCUCAACCGCCCCCGUCCAGCGCCGCCACUUCCCCCGUACCGUCCGUCCUAUUCUGUCUGUCGCCUCCCUCCCAAUCUAGUCCCACUUCGGCAUUGAGCGCCCCCUACCCCUGCCGUCAAGGGCCACCGUCCCUGCGGGCGACGUCUAGAUCCGUCUGA